GACGAACGCUGGCGGCGUGCUUAACACAUGCAAGUCGAACGGAAAGGCCCUGCUUGCAGGGUGCUCGAGUGGCGAACGGGUGAGUAACACGUGGGUGAUCUGCCCCUUAUUUUGGGAUAAGCCUGGGAAACUGGGUCUAAUACUGGAUAGGACCAUGCUGUAGGUGGUGUGGUGGAAAGAUUAGUUUCGGUAAGGGAUGAGCUCGCGGCCUAUCAGCUUGUUGGUGGGGUAAUGGCCUACCAAGGCGUCGACGGGUAGCCGGCCUGAGAGGGUGGACGGCAACAUUGGGACUGAGAUACGGCCCAGACUCCUACGGGAGGCAGCAGUGGGGAAUAUUGCACAAUGGGCGCAAGCCUGAUGCAGCGACGCCGCGUGGGGGAUGACGGCCUUCGGGUUGUAAACUCCUUUCAGCCAUGACGAAGCCCUUGUGGUGACGGUAGUGGUAGAAGAAGCACCGGCUAACUACGUG
rnacentral:rRNA from 1 species